rnacentral:lncRNA from 1 species
ACGAUUAAGGCAAAUCCAAGCACAUGUCCCAGAUGCAGUAAACUUGGCAUCAGUUGGGGCUGGCCCCAACAGAUGAUAGUGUUUGGGGUACUUCUGUGGAAAUUAACUUGUGCACAGAACAGGACCAUCAUCAUUUCAGGGCCACAAGCCGUGGGUAUCCCCUCGUUGAGUUUAAUCACAUAAUAUUUGAAAUCUAAUAUGAAAGUUUUAUAACUACAUUUAAGUCAGUAUUAAACAGUUGAAGAAAACUUUUCCACUAAUGUCGCUAAACCAUGGAUGGAUCCCAACACGAGAGUCGUCUGUGGAAGUCUCGAAACAAGAAACCACCUAAGUUUCCAAUCACGGGGAAGGGUCUGGGGCAACUCAUCUUCAUGUUCUCGGGAGGAGUGGAUGGAGCACACCUGCUUUCCUCUGGCAGAGAUUAAGCUCCCAGGGACACAAAGGCCAGGGAAUCAGACCUGGAGAGGCAAAAAGCUUUAGCUAGAUACCCACCAAGCCCCUUGGCCACCCAAACACUUCGCGUGAUUUUUUUCCUUUUUUUUUUUCCUUUUUUUUUUUUUUUCCUUUUUGUACCUCUUGGAGUUACUUCCCAGGCACUUAGCGGCACAAGAUGUUGCAGACCAGUGGGAAGAAGGGGAAAGCUAUGUGCUCUGGUCCCAAAGUCAGGGGAGGGGUGUGGACAGUUAGCCCCAGAGUCGGGGCUGCAGGCCAGGACGGAGCAGCCGCACACCGGGCGCCGGCUGACUGCUGUCGGGCCGCCCCGUUACUCGGAGCGUUACAAUGGCGACCGCAAGGCUCCCCAGGACCUCCAGAUCGCGGCUCCCUUCCCCCUACCGCUCACUGGCUGCUCCGCUACAUGUGACUAAACAAAACCCCCCAAGUCCAGAGCCCGGCUCGGCCCCUUUGUGUCCGCCACCGGAUCCUCCGCCGCCGGAGCGGAAAGGCCCCCCCGCCCGCCACCGAGUCCCGCCCCGCGGCGGCCGC